GAAAUUUGAGAGGAUCUGCUCCUAGUACGAGAGGACCAGAGUGGACGAACCUCUGGUGUACCGGUUGUGACGCCAGUCGCAUCGCCGGGUAGCUAUGUUCGGAAGGGAUAACCGCUGAAAGCAUCUAAGCGGGAAGCCUACCUCAAGAUAAGAUUUCCCUAGGACUUUAUGUCCUCUAAAGAGCCGUUGAAGACUACGACGUUGAUAGGUUGGAUGUGGAAGCAUAGUGAUAUGUGAAGCUGACCAAUACUAAUUGCUCGUGAGGCUUGACUAUACAACACCCAAACAGUUG
rnacentral:rRNA from 1 species